rnacentral:snRNA from 1 species
GGUCACUUCGCAGAACCUGUACUAAAACUGAAACUAUACAGAUUCACAUGGCCCCUGUGCAAGAAUGACACGCAAAUUCGUGAAGCAUUCCACAUUUUU